CGACCGCCCGCCGCCGCCGACCAGGCCCAGGGCGGGGGCGGGGGCGGGGCCGGGGACGCGGACCCGGACCCCGGGGGCGGGCGGUGGCGCUCGCUGGGUCGGUCCCGCCCGCCGCUCCCGAGGCCUCGCCCGCGCUCGCCGGGGCCAGCAGCAGGGGUGACUGUAGAUCCCCUCCCUCCGGAGCCAGAAGAGGCCACGGAAGGACUGCCAUCCGCACCCGGGUGGCCAGCGUCUGCCCGAUGGGUAUCAACACCAGGGAUCUAUGAUGAUGCUUGAGAAAUCAGAUAGGAAGCCAUCAUUUCCACAACUGACCAGAUCUAAGAGGCAACCGACCCCUUUAGAUGUGUUAAAGAUAAACUGGGCUAUAUUGAGCUUUUCUAAGUUCGUUUGAGCACAAGUUGAUUCCAGUGGAGAAGUACUAAACUGGAAGAGGUUGGGGCGGGACAGGAGCUCCGGGAGAGACCUGAACACAGAAAAUGCUGACGCAAAGCCAGAUGGUUAAUUGGCUACAGCCUGGAGCCUAGUUGGCUGUCUCCGAUUGGUUGUUCUUACAUUUCGAUUCGGUAACCUUAACCUUGAGGCCUUUACAGGCUCCCUCCGGGCUUAUUCACAUCAGCACCAAGGCAUCAGAGCCCCUUGGGUCUAGUGGCCUUUGUUUAAUUUAACACACGGGGCUGGGGCUCUUCAGUUCACCAUGGUGGCUGAUGACUCACUUCAAUUCCUUCAUGAUCUCCAUUUCAAUUCCUGUUUUAAGAAGAAUCUGAAGCUUAUUUCUUGGCUCCACAGUCACGAGGGACUCAGGUUUCUUUCUAACUCCAGCAUCCCAGUGUUUGGCCUCUGUUCCCAGCAGGGCCACAAGGUGAAGCUUGAGUGCUGAAGCCCCACCCAUCACAUUCACGUUCCAGGCAGCAGGGAGCAGGGGCAAAAGGGCACAGCAAAAUGACACUUUUACUUUUAAGAGCUCCUCCUGGAGUGUCACCCAGCCCUGAGGCCUUUAUCUUACUGUGUACCUGGCCACAUCUUCUAUCCAGGGCAGCUGGGAAACGUAGUGUGACUGCUGGGCACAUCAUCACCCUGAAUCAAAUGGCAGUCACUUAGCAAUAACAGGUUCCAGGGGCUUGUAUGUGGACAGAUCUUUUCCAGGGCAAGGCACUCCAGCCACUAACAGGCCCAUAUCAAAGAUGAUGGCUUGUGUGAACGCCCUGACCGCCGUGCUGGGGCCCUUCCCAAUCCUCCUAUCCCUGAGUCUGAGCUUAGUCACGGCUCCAACCUCCCCCUUGCUUGGGAAGAUGUCAUUGGUAGGGUAGGCACCGGGUAGAUGUUUGUUGAAUUAAGUGAAAUCAUUGAAUUUGCACUGCUGUGAAAUUUUGUUCCCACGAUGAUGCAUUCCUGAUUUAAAAAAAAAUUUUUUUUAAUGUUUAUUUUUGAGACAGAGAGAGACAGAGCAUGAGCAGGGAAGGGGCAGAGAGAGAGGGAGACACAGAAUCCGAAGCAGGCUCCAGGCUCUGAGCUGUCUGCACAGAGCCCGACGCGGGGCUCAAACUCACGGACUGUGAGAUCACGACCUGAGCCGAAGUCGGACGCUUAACCGACUGAGCCACCCAGGUGCCCCUCCUGAUUUUCUAAUGGAAGUCAGUGCUGCUAUAGGAUUUGCUGGGCUGAAAUUCACCGUCGUUGGAUUUUUCUGGCAUACACCUGUUCUGUAGGGUAGGAGAUUCUGACAGAUCUUUGGGGGCCCAUUUCUUUGUUCAUUCAUUGCUUCCAUGUGCCCAUUUAGGAGACAGAAGAAGGACCGUAAACAGUAUCAUAGCUAAUUAGUUCAUUUUGGUGAAGUCUUUUGUGAUUCUCCCAAGUAGGCAGUGAAAAGGGUUCAAAGGCAAAUGUGACAUCACGGGAUGACAUAGAAAUAAUUAGUGGGGGGGGGGCACGACUAGAACAGAAAAGGUCGUAAGCAUCUCUUAUGCUUCUCCAGAUGCUUCUAACACAAGGGUCUUAAAAUAUAUGUAAAGCAAAAUCUAUUUUUCCUUUCAUCAUAGUGUUUGCUUAGACUAUUUCUCCAGUUCACGGCACCAGGAAAAAUGAAACUAUGUUAUUUGCCCCGUGUAAAAGUGAUCGCAUUUUCAGGGCGAGAUACUGACUUUAGAAAUGGCUCAUGAUAAAAAUCAACCCUUGACAUCUUUCUCUCUCUCUCUCUCUUUUUGCUUCAUGACAUUAACAAACGAGGUACGCUCCUUCUCUGUUUCUAUCAGGUUCCAGUCUCUGCACCGUCUUUGUCCCCCCACCACAGCACUGAGAACUCCAAAUGUGGCGUGCGGGGUGGGGGGCGGGGAUCUUCCUAAAAACAGAAGACACAUGUACAACUGUGGUUUAAGUGCCCUGGUUAGGUUUCCUUUUUCUGGCUUUCCGGACAGCACUUGACAUGAUCAAAUGCAAAAGAAAGCCGCAGGUCUAAAGUAACUGGUUUCUUCUAGUGUUGCUUGGCGAACGGGGCGGGGUGGGGGGGGGGGGGGAGUCAACCAGACCCAGACGACCUUCCCUUCGAGCUUUCAGCAAAAAGCAAGCAGCCCUUUCUUCCCACUGCUGUUCUGAAGGUGGGGCGUGGUGGGUUCUUAACUCUUCAGCACAAGGAAGCUCAACCCCAAGAUUCUCAUCGUUGGCGCGCGAGAUGGUCGGCGUGAACGCACCGUUGCUGCUCUAUGGCCCCAUGGGUCCCGUAACACAAGAGACAAAGGUCCAAUUCUGUGCACGUCAGAGGCUGAUGAGAGGGAAGCUAUUUCACCUGCUGCUAGCAACAACCUGUUGUAUGCUGAGAGCCGUAUUUAUUCUUUAAAUUUUUUUCAUGUAUUUAUAUUAAACGCCCACAUAUGUUUAGCACAUAGAGAUACACAAAACAAUUUAAAAAUCACACCGAAUCCCACCGCCCUGAGGUAAACACUAUGAGCACUUGGGUCUCAGGUUUCUCCAGAGUCUGUGGAUCUAAUCACGAAAACAGUCGCACCCCCCACCCCCCUGCGGCCGCCAGGGUCGCAGGCAUUGGGCAGUUUACUCCCCCACCAGGCCUCCCCCCACCCUGGACGGUAGGCACGACUGUCCUCAGCCCUUUACGGAUGAAGGAACGGAGACUCGAGAAGGUAGGAUGCCUCCCAGAGUAGCAGACAGAACGGAUGCCGCGGUCCCUUUGACUCGCUAUACGGACACAGUAUUUUGUUGACUUUCAUUGCUCUGGUUUGUGCUUGUCAUUGCGUUACAAAAAGUAAAAAUGCUUUACACGGGUUGGGUUUUUGUUGUUGUUCUGUUGUUAUUUGCUCUUUUUCACUUUUACUUAAUAAUCGCGGUAGGCACAGUGCUAACAUGGCCCCAAGAUUUCCAGCCUCCUGAUGCGUGUCACCUUCCAGUUAUUCAAUCAAACGCCCAACCAGGUGGUGGGGUGAGGAGAAUUUGUAGGUUAAGUUCCCAAUCAGUCGCCCUUAAAAUGGGGAGAUUAUGCGGGGCGAGUCUCAUCCAGUAACUGUCCCUUUAAAGGUGCUGGGCAUUUCCUGAUGUCAACAAGGCUCUGGUGUGAGAGGGACGCGAGGUCGGGGAGAUUCUCUGCUGCUGCCCUUGGGGCCCACGGCGGCCACGAGCACGGAGCAGAGGCAGGCCCUUGGGGCGGAGGCCACCCCCACGCCCCCACCUGACAGCUGGCAGGAAACUGGCACCUUUACCGCCCGCCUCAACGCACUAGAUCCUGCCACGGCCACAGGAACCAGAAAGAGCUCCAGAUGAGACCCCACUUCUGCUGUGGGAGACCCUGAGCUGAGAACCAGUCAGCCACGCCCAGGCUCCUGACUUGCACAAGCGUGGGCUGGUGGUGCUGACGUGGCUACAGUUGUGGUGAUUUGUUUAGUAACAAGAGAAAACAAAUACAGUGUGUCCUAAAUGGUUCCACCUCAGAACCCUGUAUCCUUUGAGGAAGGACAGCAUCCCAGUGUCCCCAUGCGCUACAAUCAAUGCCUUCCUCCUGUACAUCUUUGCUGCUCCCAAUCCUGCUAACCUAGGCAACAUUGCGACGAAUGUUUUAUAGCUAAGUCUCUGUGCAUUCUAAAUUCCUGGAAAUGGCACUAAGCACAGAGUGUCGGCGAAUGUGGUUUUGAAAUGAACACCCACUGCCCUCUAGAAACAUUGCACCAAACGUAUCUCCCCAUUGGCCAUUUAUGGGCACACACACUUCACUUCCCCCAAACUGCCUUUCAGUUCAAGUGACGUGUCCCGUCUUUCUGCGUUUUUAAAUUAUUAGUGUUAACUUUUUUUUCCCCUUUGAAGGGCAUUUUUUAAAAAAAUGUGUGUGCAUGUGUGUAAUGUGUAUGCGUGUGUAAUGUGUGCGUGUGCAAUGCUUGUGUAAGCCUGUGUAAUGCAUAUGUGCGUAAGGUGCAUGCAUGCAUGUGUAAUAUGUGUGUGCAUGUAAUGUGUGUGCACGUGGGUGUAAAUUGUGUGCAUGCAUGUGUGCCUAUUGCUUGUAUUAUUAGCUGGAACUUUUCCAUUGCAAGGGACAAAAGUCACACUUGCUUAAUCAGAAAGAGAAAUUAUGGGGUCACAAUUGCAUGUCCAGGAAAAAAACCUACUUUAAGCGAUGGGCAGAACCUAGACCCAGAAAUGUCUUUCACGGCUUAGCCCGGAUUAGACCAACUUGGGUCACUAUCCCAUCUUUGAGCCAAUCACAUGGCUCAACAGUGGACAGGCUUAGGUCACAUGACCGCACCCCGCCCAGGGGAGGCCAGUCCUGCCUGCACCACAGGGGGCACAGGUUAACCCAAGAAAGAAGGUGCUGUCCUCAGAAUAGAUGCUGAGCAGGGCCACGGGGCAGCCCGUCCUCCAGAACGCCCGGACACUCACUUUGUGCGUUUUAUUUACUGGAUGUUUACCCAAUACAUUCCAUAAGACUCCCAAGAACUGGUAAAAUGAAGACACUAAGUUUGUCGUACAUAUUUCAAGUACUUUUUCAGUUUGUUUGCUGUCAACAGCAAUUACCCUCUUUUACGCAAGGAAGUUUUAAGUCUUUAUGUAGUCAGAUACUUAACAGUCUCCUGUUAUGGCCUGUGGCUUUACUGUUAGGCUUAGGAAAACAUUCUCUGCCCUAAGAGUUUCCGUUUGCCAACGUUUUUAAUUAAUGCUUUUUCUUUUAUUUCUCCAUGACAAUAUUUUAACCAUCUGGAAUUGAUGCUGGUUCGGAGUGUGGAAACUGUUUUUCCCACGUGUAAUAGUUGCUUAUUCCGACAGAAUUCAUUGAAUACUCCGUGCUCUUCUCCACGGGUUAGAAAUGCCUUUAUUACCAUUUGCUGAAUUAUUUUAUGCGUGUGUUUUGAUGGUCUUUCCCGCGUGUUCCUCUGCACUGACCUUUUCUGUGAGGCCUAAUCUAAAAACCAAAUAAAUACACUUAGAGGUACCGAUUACCUAUUUUAUGACUGCAAUAGGGAUUAAGACACUCGUGAGGAGUUAUAGAGUGGUGGUUAUGACAGGGUGGUUAGGUGUGGUCCCACACCUGGCACGUCUUCAAAAGGGAGGAAGGGGAAGUUCCUGAUCUUUCACUUUCCCCCUCUCUCCUACCUUCCCUCUCUGCCGGUGAAUGCCUGGCUGUUGCAGAUGGCCCGAGGUUUUUUAAAGCACAUGAGAACAUAACCCCAAGAAGCAGAGGUCGUUACGCACAAGGGUCAGGUAAAACGUGUGCUUAAAAAAAGGCAAAGCCAACAAACCCGACUUCCUGGCCACGCACUCUCACCUCCCCGGUAAAAAGAAAACACACGUCAUUCCGAGAGCUGAAUUAAUUCACGCAGCGCAGGCAGAUUCUCUGCAGCCAGACCGGACCCUUACAACAGGGACUCCCUGAAAUGAACAGAACUCAUGACAAGUCUGUCCCCGAGGAGAGUCCAAAGAGGGACAGGAUGGCCUGACUGUAACGUUGCUGACGCCUCCCACCACGGCCUGGUGCACAGAGACCAGCAGGGCCGGUCGUGGUCCCCAGGAUGGAGCCGGGGAGCAGAAAAGCAGAAGCGUGGGCCGCAAGCGCGGACACCGAGCCGUCGCACCUUGCGGACUACGGUUGACUGGUGACGACAGACGGCACAGAACAUCCGUGACGGCUAGCUGUGAACCGGCGUUUUGGGGAAGCCGAAACUGUGAGUAAACAGGUACGACUGUCUGGAAGCAAGGGGCGAGCCACGCAGAGAUGAAAUGAGACGCAGAAAUAUUAUGAAAAGGUCAGAGGGGCUCGACCGCCCCUGAAAUGUGCUCAGUCUCUGAUGGCUUCUGAAUUCACUCCAUCAGAUCGCACCUCCUCCCAGGGGACAGGGCAGUGCUGGAGCAGGGAAGGGUCCUGUGUCUGACAGCCAGUGGUGCACCCCAGUCCACACCCCCAGCGCCCUUGCAGUUAAGGCUCGCUUUCCCACAGGGCCCUUGAGGCCAAGAGGCUGUGACAAAGCUGUACUCUGUAAAAUGACGGACGCCAUACUUAUCCCCCAGACGCCAGCUGUGCGACUCAGGUCAUUUACUCAUUUAUUUUCGGUUCAAGGGAGAGACUCACACAGUCACUUCCAGGAACAGGCACGUAUUACGAGUCUACUCCACACAGUGGCGAGCCGUCAACUUGUAUCAAUUAUUUAGUGUUACAAUCACUGGGGCUUAGCACAGGGGCUCCGAACCAAUGCAUGGGCUGCAGGGGCCAGGCAGGAGCUCAAAGCACAAACUGGCCCAAUGUGAGACAACAAUCAGGCUGCCCUCUCCUUUUAUGUUCUUUUUUUAAUUUUUUUUUUAAUGUUUAUUUAUUUUUGAGACAGAGACAGACCAUGAACGGGGGAGGGUCAGAGAGAGGGAGA